UUUCAAGGACAUCGCCAUUUUGGAUUAGAAACGCUCGCUAGCUUGUACAAUCUCUGACAUUAAAAAAGCAAAAAGUACUUUUCAUCAGCUAUGCCGAACAGUACAGUUGUUUCUGUGGAUUCUGCUGGAUCUGUAGGUUCAAGAAGGUCUUAUACACGACAGUAUCACACUGUCAAUAGAACUUCUACAGUGGAUGAAACAUUGUUUGGUUCACCUCAAAGGACAAGAUCGAGGGAAAAUAAAGGCGACGAAGAAUUAAUGAUUUCUCGGCAGAGAUCACCUAAAACCAAAGGUA